rnacentral:lncRNA from 1 species
GGAGAGCUCCUCCACGGGGAGCUAAAACCUAACAUCAAUUGACACAGAAAGAUGAUUUUCGGGAUCGCCUCACCCUCCGGCUUGUUUAGAGGUUGUUGCCGUCCUCAGUGAGUGUGAGAGUGGCUUAUAAAUAGGAUCAGCUUUUGAAAAUCUUGCCGUUUAUGAUUGCCUUGUGAGGCGGCCUAGAAUGGUGGUUACAAGCUCAGAUCCUAGAAUCAGACAACCGUGUUCAGUAUGAUUUCAUCACUACUGGCUGCAAGAAAUUGGAUUAAGUCCUUAAUCUCUAUAGGGAUUCAUUUUCCUUCUUUACAAAAUUGUAACAAUAUUAUUUUCUAUCUCACAAAAUUGUGGUGAAGAUUAAAAGACAUAAACCAUGCAAAAUAUAUCCCUUUCCUCAGGGACUGACAUCUUAUCCAUCCACUCAACCAUAAAUCUGAGAGUCAUUCCAGAUGCUUUCCCUUCUCUACUCCACUCCCUAACAUUGCAAGUCCUGUCAAUUCACAGUUCUGAAACUUCUAUCAUCCAAAGUCAUCUCCCUAUCUCAUCACCUGCCUACACUGCUUUCAUCAAUAAUUUCCUAAUUUGCCUCAUUCCAUUUUAUCCCUCCAACUCAUUCUCCUGGGUAGUGGUAUUUCCAAAAUACGAAACUGAAGGUGUCACUAACCCAGUGUGAAACCAUGGGUCGGGGGCUCCCUAUUAAGGCCCCCAAAGCUCUCUGUAAUCUGGCC